rnacentral:rRNA from 1 species
CAGCAGCCACGGUAAUACGAAGGGGGCUAGCGUUGCUCGGAAUGACUGGGCGUAAAGGGCGCGUAGGCGGAUUGUUUAGUUAGGCGUGAAAUUCCUGGGCUUAACCUGGGGACUGCGCUUAAUACAGGCAGUCUAGAGUGAGGAAGAGGGUUGUGGAAUUCCCAGUGUAGAGGUGAAAUUCGUAGAUAUUGGGAAGAGCACCGGUGGCGAAGGCGGCAACCUGGUCCUUGACUGACGCUGAGGCGCGAAAGCGUGGGGAGCAAACAGGAUUAGAUACCCCCGUAGUCCCUGUCUCUUAUAC